ensembl:lncRNA
GUUUAGAGCGAGUCCCUCCAUCAGUGGCUGGAUCCGAGCCCAGCCUCUCCGCUCAUUGGACUGCGCAGCCGCGCCGCAUAGUCAGCCCAUGUGGCGUGGCCAGCGCGAUGUGACACAUUAUAAUUCACCGGAGACGAGAGGAGGAGGCUGUGAAGGAAACGCUCCCCUCACACUCACUGCAAACCACGGGGACGGACACACACACGUCCGCAGCUACACAACAGAGCACCGCCGAUCCCUGCAGCUACAGGCCUCCGUCCUACUGAAUGCUGUGGCUCCAGAUCCCUGUGACGGAGUCUCAGGAGUGUGCUAGAUGACGGGAGGGUGUCUACUAUGAGACUCUGAGGCUCUGUCCCCAGCUG